CCUACGGGUGGCUGCAGUGAGGAAUAUUGGUCAAUGGGCGCGAGCCUGAACCAGCCAAGUCGCGUGAGGGACGACUGCCCUAUGGGUUGUAAACCUCUUUUGUCGAGGAACAAAGUGAGGCACGUGUGCCUUUUUGUAUGUACUUUAUGAAUAAGCAUCGGCUAACUCCGUGCCAGCAGCCGCGGUAAUACGGAGGAUGCGAGCGUUAUCCGGAUUUAUUGGGUUUAAAGGGUGCGUAGAAGGAGUGUUAAGUCAGCGGGAAAAGUUUGCGGCUCAACGCCAAAAAGCCAUUGAAACUGGCAGUCUUGAGUGGGCGAGAGGUAGGCGGAAUGCGUGGUGUAGCGGUGAAAUGCAUAGAUAUCACGAAGAACUCCGAUUGCGAAGGCAGCAUAC
rnacentral:rRNA from 1 species